rnacentral:lncRNA from 10 species
AGCGCUCCGACGCGCUCACAGCGCCCGGCUUGCCGACCCCGACCCCGACCCCGAGUCCUACGCACUCGAGGUCCCCGGGCCGGCCGCCUCCGCACCUGCCUCCCCAGGGAAGUUCCUGGGCUUUGCUCCAAAGCUGCCCCGGAAUGUUUUGGUUGGUUUGGAGAAAAGCUGUGGCGUCUACACCACUUGUUCCAAGCAGGCGGCCCCCUGGUGGCUAACGGGGGGUGAGAAAGCUGGCCACUGAGGAAGAAGUCUGGCGCAGGUAGAAGAUUCUGAGGCCCUGGGCGGGAACUAGUAAGCCACAAUCUGGA